rnacentral:rRNA from 1 species
GAUGAACGCUGGCGGCGUGCUUAACACAUGCAAGUCGAACGAGAAGUGGAGACGGAAACCUUCGGUCGGAAGCCUUUAUUUCGAGUGGCGGACGGGUGAGUAACGCGUGGGUAACCUGCCUCCUACAGGGGGGUAACAGUUGGACACGACUGCUAAUACCGCAUAAGACCACAGCACCGCCUGGUGCGGGGGUAAAAACUCCGGUGGUAUGAGAUGGACCCGCGUUCGAUUAGCCAGUUGGCGGGGUAACGGCCCACCAAAGCGACGAUCGAUAGCCGAUCUGAGAGGAUGACCGGCCACAUUGGGACUGAGACACGGCCCAAACUACUACGGGAGGCAGCAGUGGGGAAUAUUGCACAAUGGGGGAAACCCUGAUGCAGCGACGCCGCGUGAGUGAAGAAGUAUUUCGGUAUGUAAAGCUCGAUCAGCAGGGAAGAAAAUGACGUUACCUGAGUAAGAAGCCCCGGCUAACUACGUG